AAACUAUUGUCACAUGUGGUAUUGUUUUAGGAGACACUUUGACAAGUGGACACUGGAAGACCAAGUUGUGUGUGAGGAGAGUAUUCAGCCCAGCUUCCUGUCUGGCCUUGCUACUGUUCACUGCAUAUUACAUAAAUCAGGAGGAGGCAGCCUGCACCUUGGAGUUCAUUUAAAGAGAGGAACAAAGAAGAAAAUUGCCAUCUAAAACGACAGGCCAAAUGGUACAGAAGAAACAGGUUGCAGUGAACCCACAUGUUGCCACUCUUCCCUGCAAAGUGGUGUGUUAUCAGUGGAAUUUCUGAAAUCCACUCUUUGCAUCCUGUGAUGGAACAGCAUCUGGAGCUGAAUUAUUCUCCAUUUUUGAUCAUAAGUUUUUUGGACUCACUUGGGGCCUUGUUGUUUGGACAUGUUUGUCUGGUAAUGAAGUGGUGAAAAUUAAUUCGUGUCUGUCUUUUUCAGAAUCAUUUUAUUAUGAUCAUUUUGGUCAACUUGUGGUUUUAAAUGUAAUUUGCGUAUUUCUUCUUUGUGUGAAGGGCCAUGACGGCUAAUUUGUUUCAAGUAA